UAAUUACCCAGAAGUUGGAGGGGAAUAUCCUGACCAUUUCUUCCUUCUUUUCCUGGAACAGUGUCCUAAAUCAUCAAUGUUCUUGUCAGCACAUCAUCCAAAUAAAAUCUACUGAGUCAUUUUUAGACCUUCUCCUGGGAGCUGAACAUUUCCAAAACUUCAAGUUGGACAAUCAUGAGAACUGGAACACCAGGGGGAGAAGGGGUUUGAGAUGCUGACUGUUAUCUACCUUUUGACUGCUGCCUUCAUCUGUCAGUCAGGGUGAGUAAAUGUUUGGCUCUGCAAAUGUAUGAGACAUUUGGAUCUGACCUGCCUUGUACCUUACUACCAUGUGGUUUAUAAAGGAGUUUGAGGCCAAGCGGAA
rnacentral:lncRNA from 1 species